rnacentral:lncRNA from 1 species
AAGAAAAUGUGGCUUCCCAUCAAAGCCACGUUUCUCUGAUUUGCCACACGAUGAGCAGUUGAUAGAAACGUGCUCCUUAACAGUAGCUACAUGAUGAAGGACGUGGCCAAGUGUUGGACCACUUCAGGGCAGCGGAACGUGGGUGGUGAACGUCGGUUAUUUGAUAACAUUCUCCCACUUGGUCCACAUUUUUAACCUCAUGUCCUAUCUUAGAUCAUCAUUUUUCC